GCCCUAUAAUAAGUGGGAUCAUGUAUCAGUCAUCUGGUCAUAAUAGAAAAACAAACCCCAGCUGUCUGCUGUACAUGUAAACAGAUGGGUUGUUUGAUGCCUCUCUGUCACGAGGAGACGUUGUGUUGAGUGCUCGUUGGGGACUUGUGCUUGCCCCGUGGCCACGAAGAGAGUGCAGCGCUCUCUCUCUCUCUCAGCCUGCAAACAGAGACGCUUUCAUUUCCGCGCCAAGCGCUUCCGCCCUGGCAGCCAUUCCUUCAGUCUUCACUGUCACAUGCACGAUCCUUCAGAGAUCAUUCUAAUAUUUUGAUUUGCUGCUGAAGAAACAUUUGUUUAUAGUUAAUGCCAAAAAGAGUUGUGCUGCUUACAUUUUUGUGGAGACCAUGAUAGAUGUUUUUUUAGGAUUCUUUGAAUAGAAAAAGGGAAACAUCUAUUCUUCCUUCAGAAAUUGGGCAGAUGGAGUUGCGGGCAGCGUGCCAACAUGCAGCACCAUUGUGCUAUGGGUGUCCCGAGUUUGAAUCCCGGCUAGAGGACCUUUCCUGAUCCUGCCCCCUGUCUCUCCCACUUCACUUCUUGUCAACUCUAAACUCAAAAAUCGCCAAAAAGAAAUUGGCAAAUGGAGCCAUCUCCACAGACAGAAUAUUACACAGAUUUUGGAUUCAGACAUGUCUGGAUGCUUUCAUCAUUUUUUAGGUUUCAGGCUCUCCAUGUAGAUGUUAAAAACAAGGGUGGUAAUGCUUAUUGAAUUUUAUUGAAUGUUACUGUGUAUUAAAACAGAGUGCUGAAUCUGCGAGUGAGAUGAACUGUCAUAUCCACACAAAAGCGUGUGCUGAUCUGAGAUGGAUAAAGAGUGUAUGUGUGUGUGUGAGUGUGUGUGUGUGUGUGUGAGCACUUGGAGUAAUUGAUGGAGUUGGAUGGGCAUUUAAUGUUGCGUGUUAUGAUGCUUGAGAUUUUAUUACUGAACUUAAUUACUUUUUCGUCCUUUGUUUUCUUUACGAAACAGUCUUGCCACUACAAACAGAAUAACAUCUCAGGAAAUGCUUAGGUGAACAUUGUA